ACCUCAGUAUCCUCUUAUAUAUCAGUCUUCGUUUCUAAAAACCAACCCAUCUAAUAACCUUGUUUUUGUCUCCUAUGAAAGGUUAUUUUGGGGGCCAGAGAGACAGUUAUCUUUGAUCCUGUCCUGCUGUGUUCCUGGAGUCUGUAGUUCCUGGACAUGCACCAUCAUGUUCCUGACCUCUCUCUACCCACUCUGUGUCUUUGCACUUCCUGGAUUGUCUAGGUCUGCCCUGCCUCCGACUUAUUUUGGAUGGCCUCCCCAGCAGGAAGGGGCUCAGAUGUCUCAGGGACAACUGCCACCCCAGCCAUGUGCCUGCGGAGGCCAGAAGAAGGGGUCAGAUCUCCUGGAAUUAAAAUUAGAGGCAGUUGAGAUCUGCCUGACGUGUGUGGUGGGACCGAACCUGGCUGCUCCGGAACUCACAGAGAUCCACCCGCCUCUGCCAGGAGAGUGCAGACUAAAGGGGUCGCACUGCCUGU